rnacentral:lncRNA from 1 species
CAACACCACCUCCAUACUCCUCACAAUCGAGCUCAGCCAUUAAGUUGGGGUACCCGAUUAAGAAUAGCACUCGACUGCGCCAGAGCUCUUGAGUUCCUGCAUGAACACACAACACCAUCCAUAAUUCACCGUGAUUUCAAGUGCAGUAACAUUCUCUUGGAUCAAAAUUUUAUAGCUAAGGUGUCAGAUUUCGGGUUGGCUAAGAUAGGCUCAGACAAGAUCAACGGUCAGAUUUCAACACGGGUGUUGGGGACCACUGGAUAUUUGGCACCAGAGUUAGUAUUUCAGUAUCUGUUACACAUCUCUUUUCAUAACCAUAAGCAAUAAAUCUGUAUCUUCACAAAAUCAUGCAAAACUGCAGCAGGCUAAAAGUCCCCAUCACGAAGUGUCAUUUUCUCGUCCUUAAAGGCUGUUUGGGAAAAGCAAUUAAAGUUUUAGCCCAAAGAACACAUUCUUUCACACUACUCGCAUCCUAUAUAAAUAUCCACAGCUAUUAGCCUAUUAGUUUAGGGGUAAUCCAAACAGAUCCUUAGUUAUGUAAGGCAAACAAGGUUCUCAAAUUGAACUACUAAUGAUAAUGGAAUGAAAAUUCAAAAUGCAGGUAUGCUUCAACAGGUAAGCUGACAACAAAAUCAGAUGUAUACAGCUAUGGUGUGGUUCUGCUAGAGCUCUUAACAGGCCGUGUACCAGUUGAUAACAAGCGGCCUCCUGGAGAACAUGUUCUUGUUUCUUGGGUCAGUAUCGCAUUAAUCAUAUUAACUGUCAAAGUUUAUAUCAUACUAUAGAAGCUCUUCAGUUUAGAAUUUCGAGAAUAUAUCUUUCUCAAUAUUUAUGAAAUGACUUGGCACCAGACUGUAUCUUUUGCACCAGUAUUAUAUAUUCAUCCUUCAUAAGAUAUCCACCACCAUAGCAGAGGAAGGAAGGAAAGAAAAAACUAACACCCCACAUGGCAAUCAAUGCACAAAACGAGUUGAUUCGCAAAACCAAACACACCUUUUAGUUAAAAAUUCACAACCCAAAAAUCUUUAAUAGUAGUUUGACAAAUUUCUGGCCUACUUCCUCCACAACUAUCUGCAAGCAAGAUUUCUUUAUAAAUUUGGAAAACUAUAAAUUUCAUAUAACGUUCUCUCUCCCAUUAAUAGUGAAAAAAUUGUACCUUCAAUUUUCUGGUGUGAGUUGAAGUCUUAAAGACAACUAAAGCUUUUAGUCAAGAAAGAUUGCAGAAUAAAAGCCAGUCACGCGUGCACACACAUUCACAUGAACUAUUAAAAACUAUUCCAAAGGGGUAAUAUUUUGCUUUUAGAAAAGGGUCAAAGUUAAAUAUAGUUUCAUUAGAGUAGCAAUUGAUCCCCCUUAUUGAAAAUGUGGCUCUAUUAAUGUCUAUAACCGUUUUCCCUGUUAUUAUUAAAGUACUAUUGCCUCAAAAUCCUCAAAAUUCUGAUUUAUGAUUGUUUAUAUUUUUUAUGAGUUAAUAUGAAAGUAGGUGAAAUUUUAUUUGUGCAGAAGUUAUAUAUGGAGGGCUCACCAUGUCUAGAACAAUUUUCCUUGUUAUUGUAAAAUGAAAUUUUCACAAGUCUGAAUUAUGUGACAAAAAUUAGGACACAUGAAUAUUUUUUCAGACUUGUUGUGAAUGUUGGUGAAUGGUGAUUUAAUAAUAAGCCCAUGAUAAGUUUAAAAAUAGAAUCCCAUCCUUCAUGACCAGAUUCUAUCAGAAUAAAUGAUAUCAUCUACUUUCCAGACACAUUUAAACUGGUUAGGAUAUAGGCUUGACAUUGAUCAGUAUCUUAGCAGCAGCAAAAACAUCAAUAUAUCACAGUUCAUUAUCAGUUAGGAACAUAGUAUAAAACCCAAUUUGAUAAUUAAUAACCAUAAAAAGAGUUGAACUGCACAGUUUGAUGUGCCUUAGGUUUUACUCCAACAGUUUGUGAUUAAAUCUCUUCCACAAUGUCUUAGUUUAUUUUUAUUCGAUGCAUAAAAUCAUUUAUUAAAAAGGGUAAAAAGGGAACACUACCAAUGUGUUAGAUAUGCUGGCACUACGAUUGACUUUUGCAAAUUCUCUCGAUAAAUGAUAAUGCUAUAUGUUCUUGCACAAUUUUCCGAAUUAUGAAAUCCCUAAAACUAGGGGUGUAAAUGGAUAUAUACAGAUUCGGAUACAGUAUUUACCCGUAUCCGUUUACUUGCGAAUACCUUUAAACCAAAUACAGAUAAUAUCCGGUUUUUUCCGAAUACGGAUGCGGAUGAAUACGAAUUUUCCGAUUACCAUUUACAGCCCUAACUAUAACUAGAAUAAAAAAAUAAUGAGUUUUAAAAUAUAGUUUAUUAAUGAAUGAAUGUUAAUUUAUUUAUUUUUAAUAAAUAUUUAAAUACAAUAAUAAAUGUUCUAAAUUACAAUUCAAAUAAGUUUUCAUCAUUUUUGAAAUCCUAAAUUUCAAAAUGAAUGUUCUACUUAUUAAUGUUUAGAUGUCAAUUUUAUGUGUGUGGAGUAAUAUUGUAGCGUAUGAAUAUUUAUAAUUUAUAAUUAGAUUCAAAAGUUUACAUUGAAUAUUUAAUUAUUUUUUCUCAAAUACUUGAUUAGAACCUUAAUAAUACGUUUAUGAAAACUUUUAUUUAUAAUUUAUCCUCAAUACAUAGAUUACAAUUUACAUAUCUAUAAAAAGUUUAUUUUAUUUCAUUAUAUUUAUGGAGGGUGCGAGUUAUAAUGUAUAUGUGACAACUGACAACUAGUUAAUCCAACUUGAUCCAAAAUUUACUUUGGGCUUACUUUAAAUAUUUGGACUUCUAAUUUUUAAAUUUUUAAAUAAUUAGGUAGAUGAAAAUGAUAAAUUCUCCCCUCCACCUGAAAAUUCAUAAACGUGAAUUAAUUAUUCAACCCCCUUCUAGAUUAAUUCUAAAAUUAAUUCGGACUUAACACAUUUUAACAAUAUAAUUAUAUUAUUCAUUGUUCCCGCCUCCUAACAUUGCAAGUAAUUUUUGAAAGUAAAAAACUUAUAACAAGCUAAUAACUAUAAUUUUGUUCUUUUAGUAUAUAAUUUUCUUGGUAAAUGAUACAUUUUAGAUAUUUUAACUUUAUAAUAGUAAAAAUCUAUUAACUAUACUUAAAUCAAUUUAUUUCAGUUUAGUAAUAUUAGAAUAAAAGAGUUAUUUCCUACUUUUUAGAAGUGAAAUGAUAUAUUUUUAAAAUAAUUUUCGUAUGAUAGUGAAAACUAAUUAUAUAAGGAAUGCCACUUUAAAAAAUUAUUUUACUUAUUAUAUAAUAAUUAAUAUAUAUAUAUGUUAUUUGGAUAUGAAUUCCGGAUACGGAUCCGAAUCUGGAUAUUCUGAUUGCCGGAUAUAUUUACGGUCGGAUGUUAAACGAAUACGAAUACACCUAUAUCCAUAUUCGUAUCCGUUUAUUUGCGGAUACCUUUAAACCGAAUACGGAUAUAUCCGUUUUUUUUCGAAUACGAAUAAUAUCCGAGGGGUUUUCGAAUACGGAUGCGGACGAAUACGAAUUUUUCGGUUACCAUUUACUGCCCUACCUAAAACUGUUGUUUGUUCUAUAAUGCUAGGCUCUUCCAAGGUUAACUAGCAGAGAAAAAGUAGAAGAAAUGGUUGAUCCAGCUCUACAAGGCCAGUAUUCCCGAAAGGAUCUAAUUCAGGUCAGUUUGAAGUUUGAUCAUUAUUAUCAUUGUCAACUAAAAGAUCCAAACUAUGUAAUUCUAAUUACAGCUCCAUUGGUUAAAUACAGAUAGCUGCUAUUGCAGCCAUGUGCGUGCAAACAGAAGCUGAUUAUCGCCCUUUAAUAACAGAUGUUGUACAGUCAAUAAUUCCUUUAGUUAAGAACCUAUCUACUGUAUGUCCCUCCCCUUCGUUUAGAUUUAACCAAAGAGUAAGACCCAGGUCCUAGGAUUGUUUGGUACUUGAACUCCAUGAUCCACUUCUAAAACCAUCCGCUUCAUCAGAAAUAACUUUAAAGAUGUUUCCAAAACCUUACAACUUUAGACCAUUUCAUAAGUAGAUGGUCAAUUUUAUUUGUUGCACUGAAAAGCGUAUACUGCAUCCAGCAUGAAUAGGAUUCCGCCAGUGACCACCACUACUUUUGGAUACGAGAGCACUAAUAAUACCAUACAAAAUGAAGGAGCAGAAAAAGUACCAGUGCAUUUGGAAGCAAAAAUAUACCUACGAGGAAGUGUGGAGGAUCUGAAUUGAAAGGCACCUUAGGAACUGCGCAUUCUAACAGAGCUUUGAUUUUUGGCAUCUGGGAUUAUUAAAAUGUUCUUUAACAUAAUGAAAAUAAUGCAUAAAAUUAAUAAAGGGCAGAUUACAUGCUUUCCCCAACUUUAAGAAUUUUGUUUCUGUCAAUAGCACCUAAAUUAUACAUUUCACUAAUCACCAUAUUUCAGAGCACAUUUAAUAUUUAUGAUGGAACCAGUUCUUAAGAUUAUAACCAUGACCAUGAUCAUACUGAAAAUAGAAGUACUUAAAUGCAUGAAACUUUGGAAGUCACAUAUAUGCUGUAAAUUGAACUUCUCCAAAAUAUGAAGGCAAAAACGCUAUGUUGUGCUGGAUAUAGUACAGCUAUCCAAUUCAUGAACAGCAGAAGGGACUGAAGAAUCUUAAAUACAGAAUAUCAAGCUUCAUGGGUCAUAAUGAAAUACAUUAACAUAUAAAAAUCAACAACAAAUAAGUCUACUCAUUGGGCGACUACCUGAAUCCUACUAUAAUUUUUUUUCCCUAAAAAAAGAUAUUCUCUUAGAAGAAUAAAGAAAAUACAAGCAAAGGGGGGACGAGUCAAGAGUCCACCCACCCAUAACAAGAGGGGAAAACGGAAAAAUAACACUCACAAUGUUUUAAGAAAUAGAAAGUAAAGUAAAUUCCCUAAAGAGCAUUAUAUCACAUAAAGUAAUAAUAUACUUCCUCCGUUCUAAAUAUAAUAUCAAUAUUCAGUUUUUAAUAGUCAAUUUUUGACAUUUUCAAAUUCAAAAUUGACAUGAGUCAUAUAUGUUUUGAAAACAAUACAUUCGUAGUACUUUUAGAUAUGUUAUAAUAUUCAUAAUUGCAUUGACAAAAAUUAACUAGAUUCUUAUGAAUUCUGAAUUUGAAAAGUGUUUCAAAUUCACUUUUAAAAAGUAAUCUUAUUUAAGAAACAUAUGGAAUAUUUAUUAAAAUAUAACAUACUUUUUGCUAGGUUAAAAGCAUCCACAUGAAAUAAAAAUGAAAAUCCUUGACCUAAGAAUCUUCUCCUACCAAUUUUUUAAGUUAAUAUUAAGAUAUGAAAGGAUAUCUAAACGUUUCUAUAGGNNNNNNNNNNNNNNNNNNNNNNNNNNNNNNNNNNNNNNNNNNNNNNNNNNNNNNNNNNNNNNNNNNNNNNNNNNNNNNNNNNNNNNNNNNNNNNNNNNNNAGGCUUAAUGUAACACCCCACUACUGUAUCGGCGCAUGAGGCUUAAUUUGAUAUGUAUAUAAAGCACCAAGUUAUUACCAAUAACACUUUCAGUCAUGACCUUUUGGAUGGGCCUCUUAAAAAAACUUGGGUUUCAAGUUGCCAGUAGUAGGGACAUGAAGGCAACUAGUAUUAUCUUUAUCCCAUAAUGGCAGAGGAUGUAUCAUGGUGAAAAAACAAAUGCCACUAUUAUUCACACAAUAGCUAGAGAAACAAAGAUUCUAGAUUAUGUAGAAAUGUGUUGGGCCUUACGAGGACGUCAAGUAUUUAAGUGGAAGAGAUUAAAACACCCAAGUAACAUCGAAACAUGCGAAUUAAUUUGAUAUGUAUAUAAGUUAUCAAACUACUACCAAUAAUAUUUUCAGUCAUGUCCUUUGGGUAGGUCUAUGGUGGGCUAAAGGUCACCCAAGAAGAUACUGUUGGGCCAACACGUUGAGUCCUGUAUGACUUGAUUUAAUUCAGAUUCGAGAUUUGACCCGGGUCGUUGCAGAAAACAUAUAACUCUAACUAUCCACUACAAUUGUAUAAAUGAUGAUGUAAGUACUUGACCUACUACGCAGAAAAACAGAUUCUGAUUAUGUUAGCUGAUGUAACCUCUCAACAAUCUUAAAUAUUCCAAGAUGUUAGAAGAAAUCUCUUUCAAUACAUUUGUGGAAAUCUUUCUUCUGCUGUACCAAUCCUCCAAAUAUGUUCCAAAAAAAAUUCCAGAUCUCCAAAACUCCUUUCAGCUGUAAUUUCAGAAACAAGAAUUAUUCUUACCUCCAGAUUAUUCCAAUUUCCAGAAUUUUCCAAUAAUUCAAAUUUCAAAAUAUUCUUCAAGAAGGAUUAGACGUUAGAGACCAACAUGUUUAUUCAGAACGUCAAAUAUGCAUUAUUAUUCAGUAACUCCAAAGCUUAGCUAUCGAUAGAAAAAUCGAUCUUUCUGAGGAUAAGUAACAAUCACAAGUUAUAAAUCAGUAUCACAUAAUUGCAGGGUUCCAUUUGAAAAGGAAAGCAAAAUAAAUGAAGUACACACCUGCAAGUAGCUUCUUACAUGACCAAUGCAGGACAUCUUUAUGAAAUGCCUUCCUGCACACCUAGAGAGAGAAAGAAAAGAGGGGAGGGAGAGAGAGAGAGAGAGAAAUCACGUCAAUAGAUGUAGAUGUUGUCACCAAAUUCCAAAAUUAGUUAAAAGGUAAGUUCUGUACAUUAGAUAGUGGCCUCGGAACAUCAUUUUUCCAGCCCCCUCUAAAUGCCAGAAUGGAAUCUAAACUUGGUACAAAUCAAAUUGAGUUGUCAGGCAAUGUACUCUGCUCAUUCUGGCAAGGACAAGCAUUAUCAUAUUCUUCUAGUCUGUGCAAGCAGCAAAAGAGCAGAUUACAAAGUCAUAAUCUUGGUUUUUUUAAGAGGUGAAAUAAGCCUAUGCAAAACAUAUACAAGGUCAAUUACCGAAAAUUCUACAAGAUUGAACUUUGAACUUGCAAAAACAAGUCAAUUCUCCAGUCUCCACACCUUAAGGAUCCCUAAAACUGAAGCACAAAAAAGCAAUGGCUUCAACACUAGUUGCACAACAUUUUGACAGCAAUGUAUCCAACACAAGCACAUUCGAAGUCCAAACUCAUACAUGAUUUUAACAGCCUGGAAGAAGUUUGAGAGGACAACAAUGCUAAGAAUUGAAGUACUUCUGAUGUAGGACGGAUUUAAGAUAAAUAAUUAAUAGAAAAUAAAUUAGCAUUUAAACUCCACAUUUAAAUCUCUAGGACGAAUCAACACUAAAAAUGAAUAAAAUAUCUCUACGUAUGAAUGAUAAAUAGUCUGUAGUUAAAAAAUUGUGUGGAUUACAUCACUAUUUAGAGACUCAAAACCCUAAUGGAAUAAUAAAAGUACUAAACGAUUAAAAUACCCUUAUUAAUAAUUCCUAAUUAAUGUUUUUAAUCCCCACAAAUAAAUAAUUACAUCAAUUACUCUUACAUUAAACAUAAUAAAAACUCUAAAUAAUAAGAAUUCUUUGUUAAAGUCUUGACUUGUGAUCCUCAUCAUUCUCAAUUUAAGGUAAAGAAUUAAUGGAAAAUAAAUUAGAAUUUAAACUCCAUAUUUAAAUCACUAUGGGCUCUCAAGUGUAUCAACUCCACGAAUCAAUGCUAAUAUGGAUAAAAUACCUCUACAAUAUGUAUAAUAAUAAUCAACUUCAAUAUCAAUAGUCUAUAAUCUAAAGGACUUGUGGGGAUUACACUAUUUAAAAAGACACGAAACCUUAAUAUUACUUGGGGAAUAAUAAAAGUACUAAACAACUAAAAUACCCUUAUUAAUAAUCCUAAUCAAUAAUUAAUGUCCUAAAUCCCCACUAAUAAAUAAAUUACAUCAAUUAGUCUUACAUUAAACAUAAUAAAAACUCCAAAAUACAAGAAUUCUUUGAAAGUCUUGACUUGUGAUCCUUAUCUCCAAAACUCAACCUCGAGUUUUAUAACAUGAGAGAAUAAUCCAUGAACUUCUUUGCACCGAAAGAGCAUUUUGGAACACCUUUGACACCAUCUUCACAUGAUAAGGCUCAAACAAUUUCGGGAAGAGAAUUGAUGAAAGUGUCACUUUUGUAUUCAUAGGUGUUGAAAAGUAAUUUUUUGAAAUAACGAGCCCAACAUUAUCAACUUGGACUAGAUCAACUUCGCAAACUGUCUUCUCUUCGUUGACAAACAACUUAAAAGUAAUUUCAAUGUCGUCCUCAAUUUGUGGGUCACAUAUAAUCUCUAGUUCAACUUUUGAAACUUUAAGAAUUCCAUGAACAUGAACAUGUUAUAACUGUCUGUAGCCCAUAAUUGUGAACAUCCUCUUUUUCGAUCUCUUGCUCUUUCUCUGCUCGAAUAUGUGCCAGAAAGUCAAUAAGGCCAUCUUUUAUAGAAUGUCAUAUUUUAUAAAAAUGAUUUCAUCUUUUAUAGAAGAACAUAUAGAAACAGUUUCACGUGUAGCCUUUUGAAGUUCUUUUGUUUUAGUUUGUUUGACGUUUCUUUGCUUCAACAUUUAUUAGUUAAAGUCUUGACUUGUGAUUCCCAUCAACUUCCCAGUAAAUAAAAAAAAAUUAAAUAGUUAAUAAACCAGCAAAAAGACAUAAGAUUGACCUGUUUUUAAAGAAAUAAUGACGUUGGAAAAAAAUUGGCACCACAAACUAUGAAAAUGAGGAAGGAAUUUGAAGUUAUGUUGAUUAUAUUUAUAUCAGAUCGCCAAACAACAAUAAUCCCAGGAAUCCUCUGUUAACCAUAAUCUCUUCCUAUAAAUUAACUAUUCUUUUUUUUNNNNNNNNNNNNNNNNNNNNNNNNNNNNNNNNNNNNNNNNNNNNNNNNNNNNNNNNNNNNNNNNNNNNNNNNNNNNNNNNNNNNNNNNNNNNNNNNNNNNUGCUGGUGGUCGGAGUGGGAAGUAGGAAAUAACAUAGACGAGAUACUUUUAGAUAGAAAAGAUAUUUGAAAAGGGAGAGAUUACAAGCAGCAGGGGGACAAGGAGUCCACCAUCAUUGUUUAAUAAGUGGAAAUAAAGAGAGAGUGCUCCAAAAAUAGCAUCUCUCCAAUCUCUACAAAUAUCUUAAACACAAAAACCUAAAGACCAGCAGUUAAACAAAAGAAAUAUAGUUGUUCAUAAAAUACCUAGGCUUACCGCUCAUUCCAAAUUUCCCAAACAAUAGAAAAGUUGAACACUUUCAAAACAUAUCGUGUCCUUUCUUGCAAAGCCUCUAAAGUGAGUAAGUAGCAAAUCCUCCACCAAAGCGGGGCAAACCUACCCCUUCCCAAACGCACCAAAUAUAGAGUUCAAAAACCCCAAGCAACAUGAAAAUGCAAAAAGCAAAUUUAGAAACAUACUAUAUAAUAGAACUAUUACAAUGCUUAAAUAGAAAACCUAAUCAGUGUUCUAAAAGUCGCUAGUCGGUCCCAUGUCGGUUGGCUACCGACUAGCGACUAGGGGAUUAAUCGGCUAGUCGGAUUUUCAAACACCACAGUCAGAUUUUAAUAAUUUAAUUUAUAACUGAAGUUGAAAAAAUUUAAAAAUUAAAAUGAAAUAUUACAAUUAACUAAAAAAAUUAACUAAUUUAAUUUAUCCAACCUUUUCUUUAAUGCCCACUAAGGAACUAAUUAACUAAAACAAAAAAAAUUAAAAAAUUAAUAAUUUUGCCCACUUUGGCCAGUUUGCCGACAAACUGCUUAUGCCUUAUAAGCCUUAUAUCAGUAUUCAGUAGAUUGUAAACUAUUUACAAAAAAAAUAAUAGAGAAACUGAGAGAGAGAGACGAGCCGGAAAAGAACUACCUGAUCGCCGAAGAUGAUGAAGAUGAAGAGCAGCAGUCGAAGAUGAAGAGCAGGUGAGCAGCAGUCGAGUCGAAGAAGGAGAAGCAGCAGCAGUUGUCGUUCCAGUCGUCGGCAGCAACAGUCGUCGUCGACAACAGUUGUCGUCGGAGAAGCAGCCGCAGUAGCAGUCGGCGUCGUCGGUCGAAGAAGGAGAAGAAGCAGCAGCAGUUGCCGAUCCAGUCGUCGUCGUCGGAGAAGCAGCCGCAGUAGCAGUCGUCGGUCGAAGAAGAAGUCGUCGUCGGUCGAAGAAGAAGCAGCAACAGUCCGAUUUGUUUCGAUUUGCCCCGACUUUACCGACUAGUCGACGACUUGAUCCCGACUAAGUCGGCCAACGACUAAAUCAAAGGACUAGGGCCUGGUCGACUCGGCGAGCCUCCAACCCCGACCUAGUCGCCAACUAGGCCGACUUUUAGAACACUGAACCUAAUACUUUGAGACUAAGUAAAAACCUUAAUUUAAAAAGGAAAAAAUCUCCUAAUUAAAAUCUACUACUAUAAUUAAAUCUUCUAGAAUGCCCUACUAAAAUAGUUACAUUAAUAGUUCAAUAUUUAUCUCUAAAUAACAAAACAAAAUUAAUAAUAAAUUUCUUAAUUUUCCUCUUCAGUACCACAUCAUUAUCCCCGCCUUUGAAAAAAACUCAUCCUUGAGUUUUGAAAUAUCACAAAAUAAUAAAGGGCGAAUGACAAAAUUGUCCCCCCAAGUUUGGAUGAAAAUCAAUUUCAUACUCAAAGUUUGGGAAUCUUCAAUCAAUAUCUCAAAUUAUUUAAAAACUCCAAUUGUGUUCCUUUUGGCUUGAGCACCCAAUUUUAUUGCCGUAGAUAGACGUGUCUACAAAUUAGCUAUAUCCUACGAAUUGAAUACAGAUGGAUACGUAUAUUGUAUUUUAUACGCAUAUAUAUAAUCUCAAUAAGAUUACGCAUUUACUUGCAGCUUCAAAAGGAGUGAGGAGCAACAUUGAGGGUUUUACGCAAUUUUCAAAAGCAAUCUAGGGUUCUACAAAGAUUGAAAACAAUCGAGUAUAGAUACACUUCUGAUUUCGAAAAUGGAGUCUCACAAAUGGAGUUUGAGACCUGUCGGGCAGGAUGUGCCACAAUAUUAGGGUAAUAUACUUAAAUAUAUGUUUGUCUGGUUUAUUGUUUGUUGAUGGAAUCUUGCAAUUAUUAAUUGAUGGUGAAAAAUGACGCNNNNNNNNNNNNNNNNNNNNNNNNNNNNNNNNNNNNNNNNNNNNNNNNNNNNNNNNNNNNNNNNNNNNNNNNNNNNNNNNNNNNNNNNNNNNNNNNNNNNUGGACCCUCUGCUUUUGUUCAAUUUUUAUAAAGCUUUGUUAUUUCUGCACAAUGUUUGUUUGUUGUCUAUCCGUGUGGUCCCUUUUUGUUGUGUUCUGAUCAUCUAUUUAAAAACAAUUGUACUCUUUUGUGCUUGCAUUUCAUGCAGAUGUUGAUCGUUUGAAGGCUUUAUUUACUGUGAAAAUGUGUUAUUGGGGGGAAUUUAAAGACAAGGGAUAUGUAGGUGGGGUACAUGAAUAUGUAGACUUUUGUAGAAUAGACCUUAUAACCACUUGGGGGAUAUGGCUACGGAAAUGGGUUUCUAUGGAGCAUUAAACUUUCAUCAUUGGUGUGUAGAGAGGGGAUUAAGGGAAAUCAUAACUAAUGAUAACAUUAAGAACAUAGGUCCUUAUUUGCCCAUUCACAGACAAGUAACAAUCAUCCUUGUUCAUAUGGAGCAUCUGUCAGUUGCUCCUCCUCUUCCUAAAUGGAGUCGGGUUGAGAUAAAUUUAGAUGGAGAUAUAUCAUAAACUGUCACCACAACUUAAUAUAACUUCAACUAAAAAAAAUAGUUAAAACCAUUACUUUUUACGCGCCUCUAAUCUUUAUCAUCAUGGUAACGAGGGAAUCACACCACGUCUUUAAUCUGCAAAUUAUUGCAAGUUUGAGCACGACAGCCUAACAACAGUUUUUAUGCAUCACGCUCAUACAUACUAUUCAUUUCAAUCAUGCAUCAUAUUCUUCAUGCUAUGCAUUUGAUACAUGCAUCAUAAUUCUUAUGCAAUGUGACUAUAUAUGCUUCAUACGUCUCAUGAUAUGCAUUUUUAUAUGCGAGUUUUCAAUUUCAUCAUAUUGAAUUCAAAUUAUACUUCAUGCAUUAUCAAGCUUAUCAUAUCACGUACAAGCUUAUCAAGUCGUCGCCUAGGCGACACGCUUAGUCGUCCGAGCGGUAUAAAAUUUCAAGGCGUCGGGGCGACUUGGGUGCAGAUUCAAGAGGCGAGCGACUAGGCUGCGACUUGGACGACUGGCGAGCGACUUGGACGCCUACAUAGCUAAGCGGUCGACUUGGUUCGACCCGAUUCUUACUGGGUUAAAAAAAAAACCUAAAGUUCGACUAAAUAGUCUGAACUCUGAAGUUAGGGAAAUCGAUCGAUUCGGAAGAUUGGAGAGGGAGAAACGAGACCAAACAGGGAGAUCUCAGUUGUUCGACUAGCUUCGGCGAGUGAAGUGAGGGAAGAAGUACCUACCAUCUCUGACUUGCUUCGGCGAGAGGCAACUCAGUUCAGCGACUUGCAGGUAUGCAGUAUGCUUCCUUCUUCUCUUCAUCUUCUUCUCGUCUUCUGAGUUCCGACUUCCUAUCUUCUUCUCGUCUUCUUCUGGAUGAUGAGGAUGUUGAUGUUGAUGAUAUUAUGGCCGAAGAGUAACUACUGUUUCGAGUGAUGAUGCCAUUGCUGGGAGAGAUGAUGAUGAUUUGAUCUUUGAUGAUUUUGUUUGAUAGCUUGAGUGAUAUUUUCAUUAUGAAAAAUGAGAAUUUUGAGUUAAAGAAUACUGAAUUUUUAUGACUUUAUUUUCAUUUCUAUAUUAUGUUUGUUUUUGGCAAUGUCACAAUGAACAUAUUAAAUAUAUAAAAUUUUAUAUGUAUAAAAUUUACAUUGUUAACGACUAGUCAAGCGCUUUGUCGCCUAAGCGCUUAAGCUCCCGGCUGUCGCCUCGCCUCGACUUAGCGCCUUGAUAACUAUCAACAACAAUUGCACAACAGCCUAGUCACGGUCAACGCUAAACCGGAAUGUCCUCAACAUAGCGACAUACCAUAUAUCAACGUCAAUUCAGAUGUUGAACCGGUCAGUUUUCAUGCCUUGGAGGUGAGCAACACUCAGUACCAUGCUAUUGGGACGCCACCCCUCACACCCAAGAUUUCUGCCGAAGUAAUGUCGGCUACUCAAGAAAUAAUAUCCUUGGGUCAUCAGCCAGGACAAGGGUUGGGUAAAGAUCAUCAGGGUAUUAGGUACCCCAUCCAAGUUAUCAGUCAAACUGGGACAGCUGGGCUAGGUUAUCCGGCUAGCUUUAGUCUUAAUUUGACUUCAACAAUUGCACAAUAGCAUUGCAAUCCAAAAUACAUAUUUCAACAUUCUCAUCAAAAUUCUAUCAUAAUACGAUAACAAGUGCACGUAAGCAAUAUCAAGUUCACUUAACACAAACAAAACUGAAAAAACUUGCCUUUAUUGCAAAUUGCUACCGGGUCAACUUGAUAUUGCGUUCUUGAAGCUAUGUUAUCUCGUAUCGCACCUAUAUAGCAUGCAUAAGGUUGUUAUAUAGGUUAAUGAAUAUAUAUUCCACUAACUUUAAUUUAAACUCAAGUCAACUAUAUCCGUUAUGGCUAAUUUGUUCCAUUAACAUUCCUCGUAUUAUUUAUGUAAUGCAAUUAGAAUCAUUACAUAGCUUAAUGUAUCAAUAAUUCAUGAACUUCGUUUUAAACUUGUUUUUCCCAAGCUUAAUAUUUCAAUACAUUGGAUUUAUUAAUAAUAUUAUAGACUAAAUAUACAUAUGAUAUAAUUUUUUAUUAUUUUUUAUGAAUUUAUUUGCUCAGCGUCAAAAUCGGAUCGAAAACGGACGGCGAAACGCUGCCUGGCAGCUAGCGCCAAGCGCCUGCACCAGCGUUGCGCGCUGCUGGGAUAGGCAGCCUGGUGUUGCUGCCUUGCAUUGGCAGCUCAACCUUAUUUUCUUGCCCACUUCGCGAUUUCAUAACCUGAAAUCCAUACGCUCGAUCAAAUCCAAUUUUUAAUAUGUUCUAGAUGGUACUUCAUAGUAUUUUAUAAAAAUACUACCUGAUUAAAACAAGUUUUCUAUGGCAUAGAUUCAACGGGUCAAAAAGUCCAGAAAUCUGCAGAUUUCGCUUAGCCUCGUGCCUACUUUGCCAUUUUCCAUCUUUUAAUCUACAAGUCCGUUAACCUCCAAAUUUUUACAGCAUCAAGAUGGUACUACAUAGUAUUUUUUAAAAAUACUACUUGACCAAAACAAGCUUUUUAAAGCAAAUUUACAGUUGCUCAAAAGUGGCUGGUCAGCCCAGAUUCUGCAGAUUUCCAGCAACUUUGCUAUUUUCCUACUUACUUUGAAAUUUCAUAUCUUGCAAUCCACACAUCCGAUUGCUCUCAAAUUUAAAUAUGUUAUAAAUGGUACUUCACGGUAUUUUACAAAAUUAUAACAUAACCAAUUCGGAUUCUUUAAGUUAUAGAUACAGGGACUCAAAGGUACCCUGUUAGCUCAGUUUUUCACUUAAACUCAAAUGUUAGAAAUUCUUUAAAACUUGUUUUGAACCUGAUUUGACUCACUCAAUCAACAUAGUUUACAUCAUAAUACAUAUACAAAGGUAACCUAGCCCCAAGCUUUGCUUAAUUCUCCAUUUUUAGGCAUUAAACCUCUUUGAGGUGAAUUUUCAAACACCUUGAAGGCAUAGCUUAAAGUUUCAGAUUCCAUAGGGGUUCAGGCAUGUUCCAGCCCAAAAUUUUACAGCCUUAUUACUCCGCACAACAUAUUCAACCUCCCAUCUCAUCAAUUCCACAACCAACACAGAGCAACAUAUCGACAACUAUACAUACUAUUUACUCACUUUCUAUGAAAAUAACCAAAACAUAAGACUAACCUUUGUUUGGUGUAAUAACUGAAAAAUUCCUCCUUUGAGCUGCACUUUACCCCAAUUCGUCUUUAAUUUCAGUUAUUAGUCGCAAUUCCUUGAGAAAUUGGUGGAGUCUUCAGCCCCAAUUUUGAUUAAUGCUUAUAUUUAGGCAAUUGUAGGAGGAAAGUUUAAGAAAUUUAAGAGAGAGAGAGUCAAGGUAUGGAACGGAUGAAAAGGAAGAGCUGAAAAUGGAUUUUUAGCUUAUAAGCUUCCUGAUCUCUGUUAUUCAUCAGACUUUAGACUGCUUAGUGUAGGAUUGAUCACAUAAUUUCAUGCCAGCUCCUGCUUGUUUUAUAUGACUCAUAACAUGGCUACACCUCUUAUUUCUCAGCAUGCUUAUAUGUAUAUUACUUUGUACAUAAUAUCUAUUUAAUAAAAUACAAAUAAUUUUAAAUUUUUCGUUCAUUCAAUAAAUUAUUUGAGCCGUCAUAAAUUCGUCCGUCUAAAGAGUAUCGGAGGCACAGGAGACAUCUAGUAUGUAC